rnacentral:rRNA from 1 species
UAAGGGCCAUAGGUGGAUGCCUUGGCUGGUAGAGGCGAUGAAGGACGUACUAGGCUGCGAUAAGCCUCGGGGAGCCGCCAAGAGGCUUUGAUCCGGGGAUUUCCGAAUGGGGCAACCCACUGUAUCGAGAGGUACAGUACCCUUAGGGGGGCGAACUCAGGGAAGUGAAACAUCUCAGUACCUGAAGGAAGAGAAAUCAAACGAGAUUCCCAAAGUAGCGGCGAGCGAAAUGGGAUUAGGACAAACCGAUGGCUUGCCAUCGGGGUUGCGGACUGCAGAGUGCAUUCUAAGUCGAUAGAUGAACCAGCUGGAAAGUUGGGCCAUAGAGGGUGAUAGCCCCGUAAUCGAAAUUGACGAAGAGCCAGCAGGAUCCAGAGUAGGUCGGGACACGUGUUAUCUUGACUGAAGCUGGGGGGACCACCCUCCAAUCCUAAAUACUACUACCAGACCGAUAGCGAACCAGUACCGUAAGGGAAAGGUGAAAAGAACCGCGGUGAGCGGAGUGAAAUAGAACCUGAAACCUAUGGCUUACAAUCAUUCAGAGCGGGAUUGUGCACCUUAUAGAGCGGUGCACAUUGUUGAGACGAGGACGGAAGUAAUUCCCCCCUCUACGCUAACGCUAAGUUCUCCUCAGCGGAGCACUCAUCGCACUAGUGCGAUUGGGCAUUCUGCCGAAGAAAACCCAGUGUUAACGUAGCUAUUCGGACUUUGUUCGGAUAGCGUAUCCAAUGUGAACCUUUUUAUAAGGUGCACAUCCGUGAUGGACUGCCUUUUGCAUAAUGAGCCUGCGAGUUGUGGUGUCUGGCAAGGUUAAGCAAACGCGAAGCCGUAGCGAAAGCGAGUCUUAAUAGGGCGAAUGAGUCAGAUGCUGCAGACCCGAAACUAAGUGAUCUAUCCAUGAGCAGGUUGAAGCUGGUGUAAGAGCCAGUGGAGGACCGAACCGACGGCUGUUGAAAAAGCUCCGGAUGACUUGUGGAUAGGGGUGAAAGGCCAAUCAAACUUAGUGAUAGCUGGUUCUCUCCGAAAUAUAUUUAGGUAUAGCCUCAGGUCGUAACAUGUAGGGGUAGAGCACUGACAGGGCUAGGGCUGCUCACCGCGGUACCAAACCCUUUCAAACUCCGAAUACUACAUGCGUAAUCCUGGGAGUCAGGCGGUGGGUGAUAAAAUCAAUCGUCAAGAGGGGAACAACCCAGACUAACAGCUAAGGUCCCAAAGUUACAUCUGAGUGGAAAAAGAUGUGGAGUUGCUGAGACAAUCAGGAGGUUGGCUUAGAAGCAGCCAUCCUUUAAAGAAAGCGUAACAGCUCACUGAUCUAGCGAUUCUGCGCUGAAAAUAUAACGGGGCUAAGAUGUACACCGAAGCUUUAGGUUAAGUUAUUAUUUAGUACGCCAUUGGAACAGAGUCCCAAUAGCUACGUUAACACUGUGUUCGCUUCAGCAGCGGGCUCACGCGACUAGUCGCUUAAUCGCACU